UACGGAGGGAGCUAGCGUUGUUCGGAAUUACUGGGCGUAAAGCGCGCGUAGGCGGCUUUGUAAGUUAGAGGUGAAAGCCCGGGGCUCAACCCCGGAACUGCCUUUAAAACUGCAUCGCUUGAAUCCGGGAGAGGUGAGUGGAAUUCCGAGUGUAGAGGUGAAAUUCGUAGAUAUUGGGAAGAACACCGGUGGCGAAGGCGGCGACCUGGUCCUUGACUGACGCUGAGGCGCGAAAGCGUGGGGAGCAAACAGG
rnacentral:rRNA from 1 species